UACCUGUAGCGCGAUGGAUAGCACGUUGGACUUCUAUUCCAAAUGUCAUGGGUUCGAAUCCCAACUGGGAAG